GCGCCCGUAGCUCAGCAGGAUAGAGCACCAGAUUCCUAAUCUGGGGGUCACAGGUUCAAAUCCUGUCGGGCGCA
rnacentral:tRNA from 1 species